rnacentral:rRNA from 8 species
GUAGCUAAAUGCGGAAGAGAUAAGUGCUGAAAGCAUCUAAGCACGAAACUUGCCCCGAGAUGAGUUCUCCCUGAGACUUAGAGUCUCCUGAAGGAACGUUGAAGACGACGACGUUGAUAGGCCGGGUGUGUAAGCGCAGCGAUGCGUUGAGCUAACCGGUACUAAUGAACCGUGAGGCUUAACCUUACAACGCCGAAG